rnacentral:tRNA from 1 species
GCCGCUGUGAUGGAAUUGGCAGACAUAGCAGACUUAAAAUCUGCCGGGCUUUGCCCAUACCGGUUCGAGUCCGGUCAGCGGCA